rnacentral:rRNA from 1 species
UGGGUAACCUGCCUCAAAGAGGGGAAUAGCCUCCCGAAAGGGAGAUUAAUACCGCAUAAUAUGUUUAGGUCGCAUGACUUUAACAUCAAAGGAUUUUCUUUUAAGAAAUUCCACUUUGAGAUGGACCCGCGGCGCAUUAGCUAGUUGGUGAGGUAACGGCUCACCAAGGCAACGAUGCGUAGCCGACCUGAGAGGGUGAUCGGCCACAUUGGAACUGAGACACGGUCCAGACUCCGUAGGAGG